rnacentral:lncRNA from 1 species
GACCUCCAGACCUCUAUGGUUAGUUGGUUAGUGGCAAGCUCUAUCCUCUGAUCUUCAGACAGGCUUACUUAUACAAGCAAGAUAUCACCACAGGAAACAGUCUUGGGUUAAUGGCCCCCUUCUAAUUUCCUUUCUUUUCUCCUUCUUUUCUUUACUCUUGAUUUUCCUAUGGGAAAAAAACAUUUGCACAGUGUGUGUCUUUCUGAGUCUGGCUUCUUUUGUUUAACCUGAUGAUCUCCAGUUCCAUCUAUUUUUCAUGAAAAUGACAAGAUUUGAUUCAUCUUUCUGGCUAAACAAUGCUCCAUUUUGCUAGCAGAUGUAUAAAUUAGUCUAGUCACCAUGGAAAUCUGUGUGGAGGUUCCUCAAAAGACCAAAACUAGGAGUAUCAUGUGACCCAACGAUGUCCCUCCUGGAUUCUAAAGAGGGACUUGGAGCAGCCGUGUGAUCAGACACUGGAGCCGGUCUUGUACUCCUGUUCAUGGGCUCUCAGGCAAUUAGGAUUAUGGUUGUUGCUGACUUAGUAGAAGUGGUUGUUGCUGAUUUAGUAGGUGUGAAGUGGCAUGCCAUUGCCACCAUCUGUGUUUCCUUGAUUGCAAGAAUGAAAGGAAAAGUUACCUUCAUUGAACUUUACUGCAUGCCAAGCACUGUGGUGAUGAAUUUUGUCUCUAUUUGCCCAUGAGGACCCUGGAAAAAGAAGAAAAAGAGGAAUUUUCCAGCAGGGCAUUCAGUGAUCAGCACUCGUAGAGCUGGAAACUAAUUUUGUCAAAAAUCUGUAAUUUGUAAUUGCAUUUGUAAUUUGUAUUGCAUUAUAUACAUGAAUACACUUCCUAAAUGCAUGUCCUGUUUGAUGGCUGACUUUUAACUUAAAAUUUUAAACUUUUAUUAUUUUAAAUUUUAAUUCUGGAAUUAUUUUAAAUUCAUAGCAAAGCUCAAAGAUGUAAAGGAUUGCUAUGCACCCUUUGCCUGAGGUUGCCUAUUGUCAACAUCCUAGGAAGACUAGCAACAAAACUAUUCAAUACUUGCAAAAGUUUUAAAAUUAUAUAUUGUGUGUGUUUCUCUGUGCGUGUGUGCAUGUGUGUAUCUGUGUGUGUAUCUAUGUGUGUGUAUCUCUGUGUGUGUCUAUGUGUAUGUCUGUGUGUGUAUCUGUGUAUGUGUGCAUGUGUGUGUAUCACUAUGUCUGUAUAACUGUGUGUGCAUGUAUGUGUAUCUCUGUGUGUAUGCCUAUGUGUAGAUGUGUGUG